CAUUCGUAUUGUGCGCUCGGCGCUGCUGGCCGAGGAGAGCGCAGGGCCAGGUUGGCUAUCUUGGGCCGAAUGUUCCAAACUGGAAGUUUUUCCGCCGUAUGGGAUGUGCUUCAAGCGUCACACUGCUCCAUCUUCUCCAGUCCCUCAUGCUGCCGGUGCUCGGCUUCAGUUCCCUUAUCGCGCCGUCCUCGUGCUGCGGUGCCACGCGGUUUGCUGCCGCUGGAGGCACGCGGGCACAGUGCAGCAGCUCAUCCUGCAGGUGUGGGGGCCCAUCCCACCCCGUGCUAUCUGCCACUGUCACUGCCCAGCCUGCCUGCAGCGGCGGGCAGAUAUUCUGUGUCACAACGUAUAGCACAUCCCGUGGGCAGCGGCAGGAGGAGGCCACGAUAACCCAGCUGUGGGCAGCACCUCGGUAUUGUCACAUCAGGAGCGUGCAGUGCAAACGUUAUGCUUGGCACUGAGCGUGGUGGUUAUCAUCCCUGCAGCUGGCGUGGGCUGGCGUGGUGUGUCAUCGCGACGCUGCAGGCUGCAGCCCAACCCGUGCAUGGGGCACUGCGGUGUGCUUCAGUCUGCGUGUGGAGAGGAGAGGAAAGGCCUCGGGGAGAGAUCUCUGGGCUUUGAGGACAGCAAGACCCACGUGCUCAUUGCUACUUAUAACAUGGAUCCAAGUGGUUAUUUUUUGUGGCUCUGGAGAGUUAGGAAUCAAAAUAGGAAUAUGCAGAGAUGGUGGUGGUUUUGGUGGUUCUUCCGUGGCUGUCUCUGUGCUGGUAAGGCCGUGCUGGCUGGCGUUUGGCUAAGCAGGGCCUUCUCUGAGUGGGCGGCUCUUGUUGCCUCUUUCAAGAGGGAAGGUUGAGCCUUCUGUGCCCCCAGAACCCCCACCCCCAAGACAUUGCUGACGUGCUGGCGGAUGGGCAUUACUCCUGCCCCAAACCAGUCACAUUUCAGGUAAAAGCUGAGAGUUGCUUCUUGCCCUCCUUCCCUGGAGCCACUGCAGGGUCGUGGUGGCAGGAUGAUGGCAGUGUGCCCUCAUGCACCACAGGCCUCCCCAGCACCAUUUGUCCUUGCCCACGCGUCCCGGUCGCUGCAGCCUCUUCUGCUGUGGGGCUUCCCCUCUUUUGGUUCAUCUUUCACUGGUGUCAUGGAGCUGCCUGGCCUCACAGCCUCUUUCUUGGGUCCCUGGGUGCAGCAUCUGCGCUGCCUCCUCGUGCAGGUGGGAUCCCAUGGAAGUGUUCCUCCUCCGUUUGACCUCCCCCAUUCAUUGCAGUUCUGUCCCUCAGACUCUUAUUUCAAAUCAUAGACCCACAGACUGGUUUGGGGUGAAAGGGAUGCUAAAGCCCUCCCAGUUCCACCCCCAUGCUGUGGGCAGGGCUGCCCCCCACCAGCUCGGGCUGCCCAGGGCCCCAUCCAACCUGGCCUCGAGUGCCUCCUUGGAUGGGGCACCCACAGCUCUCCGGGCAGCUGUGCCGCUGCCUGAAUCCUACCCACAGUCUGCACUCUAUUUAUUCCCUCCUUGAGAAGUGCUCUGACAUUCUUAACCUCCGAGUGCUGUUAUGAAGUUGAGGUGGUGUGGUAGGGAAAAAUCUGGCCACGACCCGAAUGCAGCAGCAAGAGCUUCGCUGCGGUGCUGUCAGUCUCCUUUGUGUCCCUGUUGCCUGCUGCAUUUCCUCUGCGCGGCUGCCGACAGCUCCUCCCUUUGAAUCACAGACCUGCUGAGCAUUUCUGUGUUAGCGGUCCAGGGCAGAAAUUACUGUUGGAAUAAACCCCACUGUUGUACUCAGUGCGCCCCGUGGUUAUUUUUAAAGCACCUCCAGCCCAUUAAUCAUCAAAUGAAGUACUUCAGGACUCAGGUCGCCGUGUUCCAAUAUUUCACCAUUAGGACUGAGCGUCCUAACUACGUGUGAUCCACCUUCCAAAACUGAGAGGCAGAUCCCUUUGCCAGCCAGCCCAUUACAGGCGGGCUCCUGCCUCAUGGCAGAAGGGCUAAUCCUGCAAAUGGAUUGCUGAUGGACGGCUGCUGAGGCAGUUGCACCCCUGCAGCUGUAAAGCAGAUACUGGCAUUGUGCAUUUGGAGGCUGCCUUAGUGCAUUUUUGUCAGCAACUACGUGUUGCAUGUUGGAUACCUUUACCUGAGUUUAAAUAGGAAAGCAUUCCGCCUCAGGCACUGCUGCCUUCUGUCGCUGUCUGACAUCUUCUUUUUUUUCCAUGUGGGAGCACUAUCAGCACGGUGAUGAAAGGCGUAAUAAAAUAAAUGACUGGAUGACUAAUGCACGUCUCGGUGCAGAGGAGCCGGAGUUAGCCUCGUGCCCAGCCAGGCAGGGACAGGGGACAACAGAGCUGGGGAUGGCUGGGCCGGGGAUGGCGGGGCUGCCUCUGAAGCUCACCCCUGGGCUCAGAGCCGGGCAUCCCCUGGCUGCAGGCACAGCUCUGCCUUUGCAGGGCUCUGCUGGCAACCCAGGGUGAGCCCCUGGGCAUGGGGCUGGGGGGGUUGGAACACAAACGCGUUGUGCUGUAGGUGCUUGUGCAGAGUGAGGUGGCUGCAGUGUGCUGAUGAUGGGGUGUGCACAAAGUGACAAAGAGCAGUGGGCUGGGAGGUGCUGUUCCUGGCCCUGACCCAGCUGGCUUAGAGGCUUCUGUUUCCCACCGAGGCUUGAAGCCCCUCUUCAUUUCCUAUGCAGGAACCUAACCCAGUCUGGGACAUAAAUCAUGCGAGGUGAAGUCAUCUUGUGCCUGUAAAAUAUGGGCUGUGGUUUGGUUUGGUUUUUUUUAAAGCCAGGUCAGAGUAAAUGACACUGAGACUGCAUCGUCCUGCAGAACAGUUCGAAAAAUACAGGAGUGAAUUUAAAGACUUCUGCAGCACUGUUUGCUAUACGGAGUGUUAAUUUAAUUGAAGAAAGACAUCCUGAAGACAAAUCCCAGCCCUCUGCUGCCCAAGCUUUCUUCAGAUUGGAGGUUCUUACAGAGUAAUGAAAAUGGAUAUCUGCGGGACUGAUCAGCGCAUGAACAAAGCGAGGCCAGACCGCAAGCCAGGUGUGCUGUUACCUAAAUUAAAUCUCCAUUGAUUUACAAAGAAACCUCAGGAGAAUGGGAAGAAAUAAAUCUCACACACAAUGGGAAGCUCUUAAUACUCCUCCUGGAGAGCGCUGUACAUUGAUCCCAUGAAAAAGAGCCCUGACACGCAGUGCGUGUGCUCUUCUAAAACCUCACUGAGACGCGGCUUGUUUUAAUAGCACGAACAGUCUUCGUGUUGGUCCUGUGAUCUCAGCGAGACUGCUGUGUCACUGCGGUCAGGGAAACGCACUCUGGAUGUUGUUGCCCUGCUGAUUCACCAGGAAGGUGGUUUGGCUCAGCAAAGGCUUUUGUUUCUGUGCUGGGGUGCCAGGCGGGUACUGUGUGAGGAGCGUGGAGUGGCGUUCCAUCCCCGGGCUGCUGACCCCACUGCCGGCUGCAGGCGGGUGCUGCAGACACACAGCCCCCAUCAGCAGCUGCACAGACAGGUGGGGUGCUUCGUCCGCAGCCCAGAAAAAGUCUGGGUAGCCAAAAUCCUAAGGCCCAGAAUGUGGUGGUGAGUGGAGUUAAAUCCAGCUCCAGGUCGUGAGAGGUGUUUCUCAGGGGUCAGUACUGGGGCCAGUCUUGUUUAAUGUUUUUACUGAUGAUCCAGGUGAGGGGAUUGAGUGCACGCUCAGUAAGUUUGCAGAUGACACCAAACUGGGAGGAAGUGAGGAUCUGCCGUGAGGAUAGGAAGGCCCUACAGAGGGAGGAUAGGAAGGCCCUACAGAGGGAGCUACAUAGUCUGGAAUCAAUGGGCUGAGGCCAAUUGUGUAAGCGUUAGCAAUACCAGGUGCCAAGUCUUGUGGGCAGUGUGCCCAAGUGGCCAAGGAGGCCAAUGGCAUCCUGGCUUGUAUGAGGCACAGCACAGCCAGCAGGAGCAGGGAGGUGAUCGUCCCUCCGUGCUCUGCACUCGUGAGGCCACAUCUCGAGUGCUGUGUUCCAUUUUGGGCCCCUCAGUACAAGAAAGGCAUUGAGACCCUGCAGUGUGUCCAGAGAAGGGCAAGGAAUCUGUGAAGGGUCUGCUGCACAAGUCUUACGAGGGGUGGCUGAGGGAGCUGGGAUUAUUCAGUCUGGAGCAGGCUCAGAGGAGACCUGAGCUGUCUAGAAUGGCCUGAAACAAGGUUGUAGUGAGAUGGGAGAAGAAUUUCUUCUCCAAAAGUGUGGAAUGGGCUGCCCAGGGAGGUGGUGGAGUCGCUGUCGUUGGAGGUGUUCAGAGAACAUGCAGAUGUGGCGCUGAGGACGUGAUCAGUGGGCAUGGGGUGGUGGGUUGGCAGCUGGAUUGGAUGAUCUCAGGGUUCUUUUCCAACCUUAAUGAUUGAGGAUAACAAGUGAGGUGUGGGAGAAGGACCCUGAAUGGUGCCUUGUCUGUUGAGAAUGGAGUCAUAGUGCUGUGUGGGAGGGGCGAUUCUCAUGCCCAGCGGGGCAGGAGAGAAAACAGGAGAUCAAAAUUAGGAAAUAGAGCAGUGCUUGUCGGAGUGACAAAGGCGUCAGAGCCAGACAGUACAAUGGAGGGGUGAAGGCAGAGUGGAAGUGGUCUGUAAACGUGAUCUCUCCGUUGUUUUAAUUUUAUCACGAGAUUACUGAUGGACCAAUUUCAGUGAUUCACACUGGUAAUUAAUAUUAUUUAAUUAUCUUCAUAAUGAGAAAGAUGCAGGAAAUGGGAACACGCUGAUAAAGACAUUCUGCUAAUGAAAAGCUUGGUGGAGUGGAACAGCACUGAAAUGUUGCGGGAUGGGAGUGCUUGCAGUGGGCUGAGACGUGGGCAGAGCCGCCCACAAAGGCUGUGGGGUCUGAGCCCAGUAACGAGCAUUGCUUUUUAUAAGUUAGGUCUGCAGUGGAGGCAUUCAGCCCUCCUCCUGACCAGGAGGACCGAGCCAGGCCUGGGUGCUGUACCACACAGGUUCUGUGUCCUGCAGUGUUCCUGUGCCUGCAGUGCAGCCUAGGCAAUGCUGAGCGUUGAUCCAGGCCUGUGUAAAUGGCAGCAUAAAUACAGGAACCAAAUCUUUGCUAAGAUUUUCACCAAUCCACCCCCACGAAAAAAAAAAAAAGAAUUUCUAUCAACUCUGACAUUUACAAUAGACGUUAUCUGCUCUGUGACAUUUGGUCUUAUAAACAGAUGUUGACCAAAUUCCCAUUUGCAGCUCACCCCGCCGCCACAGAUGAGAGGAUGCCCACAGCUGACCCUUGUCUUUGUAUAGCAGAGUGCCCACCCCCCCUCCCAGCCACAGGGUGCUGACAAAGGACUGAGCCCCAGGAAAACGUGGCAGCAUCACCAGCAGUGUGUGGCAGAGCAGGGAACUGGAGGAGGGUCUCCUGCAGCCCAGCGUUGUUAAUGAUUCUUUGAUCCUGAAGCCAACACUGCUGCCACUGACAUCCAGGCACUGCUUGAAACGGAAUCGGGGCAAAGGUUUCCUAAUUCCUUUGUAUUCAAGUCAGCUGGAGCAGCAUUAACAGGGUUUGUGUCUGCAACAGCCUGGGGGUGGAUGAACAUAAAUGACUUAACCUCGUGCUGGGCUCCACAUCAGCGAGUAAGGGCAGACAUACGUGGAGAACCCAGAGGCUAAAGCAGGGGUAGAGGUUUUGCCCAACGUUCCCCAACCCCUUCAUCCCUGAUGAGGCUCUAAAUGGCAGCACCUGCUUCAGUGAAAUGGCAUAUCUGAGGGAGGAGCAUCAGGAAGAUUUGUCAUGAGCUGCACCUGUCCUGCCCAGCUUCGUUCUGAUAAAGAGCUGAGGGUGGUGGUGGUCUUUGUCUUUGUAUGUGGUGUUUUCUAAGAGUUUGCUCUGAAUGGGAAGCUCUCAAUUAGAGCUUAGGCUGUUGCUUUUUCUCACCAGCAUUCUGGCCACUGCUGGAGCACACUGAGAGAAGUAGCAACGAGGUGGUUCAGCUGUAUGAACCCGAGGUUAAAAGAGAGAGGAGUGUGAGGGAAACCACGUUUGAUUGCUGAACCAAAAGGUGAAGGGAAGGAGGAGCGGCUCACAUCCGAGGGGCAGGAAGAGUGAAGUCACCUCCACUUCAGAAGAGAUCCUUGUUUAGAGUACUGCAGUUUCCUUACAUCGGGAUCUUGGAAGUUCAUUGAUACUUCACUACUGCACUGCAUACAGAUACUGCAUGCUGUAUCUACAGCACGUACAACAGCUGUGCAAUAAGUGAAGCACUUCUAAGGCCAGCUGGGAUUUGGACAACUACACUUUGCUUCUCUUAAAAAGUUUCUAUAAAAGAAAACCCUGCUGUUUAUAACAUCACAUUUCAUGCUGCUUAUGGAGUACUAAACAGUCAAUACUGUGAGUCACUUCUUGUUCCCUGUCCAACACUCACAGCAGAACAAAACUGCUCUUUACGACUGUUUCAUCUUUCCUAUGAUACUGGAGAUAACUGUUUAUUCUUUCUGCUUAAGGGGAUCCUCAGAAUUCCUCAUGGAUGACUGCUUCCUUACGUCAGCUGUCUUUCACCUGACACCUUCAGUGAAAACGCACGCUACCUUGGCAUUAAAAGCACAUAUUCCGAGUUAUGCACUAUUUCCUUCUAUUCUCCUGCAGACAAACAGUCCAUGUAACCUUCCAGCUAAUAAUUAGCUUCUCUUGGGGUUGCUUUCCAAAACUGUGACGUUAAGCAACUUGUACAGGUGGUUGCUAACGCAGAGGUUAGACCUGAGACCAAACUAAAAAUCGCAGGAAGGAACAGCACAAAUAUACAACGUACAGCAGUCAGUGUGCAAACUGAGCAUUUGGACUGCCUUUCCCACACUCACCUGCGGACAGGCUGUGCAAGUUUGCUACGAGGCACUGGGAUGCCCCCCGUGGAAGGGGCACUGGGUCUGGGCAAACUACUCCUCAUCCCCACUGUCCCUGCCGGCCUGGUGAGGGUGGUGCUGUUAACACCGCUGGCAGGGCCGGGCAAGCCUGAGCUCUGAGCUGCAAGAGGCCCCGGUGAAGAACUGCUGUGUGUCAGCUGUGUGGCUUCCAGAGGAGCAACAGAACCAGGUCCGUGGUUACUAAAUGCCUUCACCGGUUGUCGCAGAGCGAGGGGAGAUGGUGCUGCGGGUGAGCGGAAUUUACUUGAAGAAGGUACUGGAAAGUAAAACGCAGCAGUUACUUUCAAGCUUAACUGACAGUAUGACUGAAAUUAAACAGGCAAGGAUUUUGUGUGAAAAUUCAAACAACACGGAAUGUGUAAUGGAGUACAGCCAAUCAAGCAGCAAUGAGAAACAGGAAUUCAGAUGUCCUCUUUGUUGUGUUUUUGAUAUAAUAACUCCAAUGCUCCCUUUACCUACUAUGAAUAUUUAUCUGGAUUUGUAAGUAAUGCCAGUAAGGCCCUAACCGUUCUAUCCGCCAACCCAGAAGAAACAGAGGUGAAUAUAUUUGUAAGAAGAAAUUCAGCUGUUUCAGAAAUGUGUACCUAAUUCCCAUCCCUAAACCAACACAUUCAAGUAUAUGGGAUUCUAGUGUGACAUUUCUGCAUAUCUGCACUUCCUCAGGUACAGGGGUGCAGCUCAGACAGAGCAGGGCAGCCUAAAAUUUCUUUUAUGCUCUUCUUUUUAACCCAAUCCACUGAGUCAGGAUUCAUCUCAUGAUAGGGUCCAGUUCAACAUCUACAGUCUGAAGGCAAAAAAACCCAAGUACAGUCAGCCAACUCCCAACACCAAAGAGAUGCAGCUCUGAAACUUAAACCAGACAACUCAGACAACUUAUAGCCUUCCUCUUCUUACAAACAUCUUCUAAAUUACCAGUUUUACUUAGAGCUGAAUUCAAAUACUUUGUUAUCAGUUAGUUAGGAUGUAAAAUGCAGGUCUUUGUCACUGGUUUAUAAACAAUUCCCAGGGAGGAUUUGAUAAUCUAUUUAUAUGCUUAGACUCAGAAUUUAACACUCUGUAUUAGCCCUUAAUUCAAGAUGCACACACAAAUGUAUGCCAUUAGUAUUUUUUUGGUCCUAUAUAUUUAUUUUACUCAAUGCAGUAGCAACAGUUCUUACUUAUUAUAUACACAAGAAUUAAUUCUGAAGUUUCAAAGACAGCCAGCAAUUAAUGACAACUGAGCCUUGCAGCAAAACACUGACAAUAUUUAAGUCCUUUGGUAAUCCUAAAUCUUAAGCUCAAUUCUUUAUGAGUAUCAGAAAUAUUUUAAAUAUAUGCAUAACGUAUCACUAAACAGAAUUCUUGAACUAAUCGAUCUUCUUAAUGUUUGAAUGGAAUUUCACCAGCUUCUCAGCCUGAUUAGGAUGGGAUUUGGCAACAGUUGAUGUUGGGCAAUUAAAUCAAUCAGAAAAAAUGGAGAAACCACACUGACAGUGGCCUUGCAUGAGCAAUUCUUUUUUGACUAAGAAAUUUCUUUAUGCAGAGGAAGUUGAGUUCCUCUCUGACAGAUGUUGUACUUAACAAAGAUGGCCCUUCACACAGCACUUAUUAUCAUUUUACAAGACAGAUCCACUAAGAAUAAGAAGAGUAAGAGAAGAAACCAGUAAUGACAGGAACAUGACUUCCCACAUGGGGUACAGAGAAAGUGGUAAUUUCCAGGUGGUAACUUCCAGGUUGUACUGCAUGACCCUGACAGGGGUUGAUAGAAAGAUUAAUAUGUGCAUUAUAGAUGCGAGUUGGAUUCAGUUCCUUUUGGGAUUAUCCAAGAGGGCCUUUCUACUGACAGUUGAAAGCAUGAGGCCGCGCAUGGGAAAAGCUGAUACGAGUGGUAGAGAUGUCAACAUACAUGACAGUUGGUAAUUAGCAAGGAGAAUAAAUAAAAGCCCUUAAAAUAAAAGCUUGGUGUCAAGCCAGACGAUGGAUUACAGAAAGCAUUAACAGCAGAAUGAUAGGACAAGAAUGGCAGCACAGUGCUCCUAGAACUACGAUAGAUGACAUAUUAGAAGGGUUGGGUUUUUUUUUGAAUGUGAAAUUAUCUGUAGCAUUGGUGUAAUUAAAUCAGCAAUUACCAAGAGAUUCUACAGUCUAAACAAGGGAGCUUUCACCACUGAAUUCCUCGUCACCAUACGUGGUGGAACUCAAAUACAGCACAACGUUAGCAACUAACCUACUGAAUAAUGCCGGUAUAUAAACACUGGGCACAGCCCUAGGGCCUGCUAAGGACAGCUUUAGCUGCUAACAUGUACAAUGGGGAAAAGGUUCAAAGCACUGAGUGCAAUGAAAACUUGUAGCUGAAGAAAGUUUAUCAUUUUCCCAGAGAAAGUAAGUAUCCAGUUGUAGUGGAAAUGUGAAGUCACGGCCUGAAACAGUGAUUGAGCACCUGGUGGGAAGGCAGGGCCAACCCAGGGAGCUCAGGUGCAUGCAAUACCCCUGAGUGAUUGGAAGGGGUGGAGCCAGGAUCCACCUCUUCCCAGACCUCAUUUAAGGUUUGGCAGUAGAGGUGAGGGCAUCUUGCUGGAGAUCCCUGCCUACUUGAGACCUUCCAAAGGUAAGCAGCUCUUUUCCUUCAUUACUGUAUCUGCUAUGUUUGGGCUUGUUCUCAUUUGCUGGAGCCAAAGGCUUUGCCAUCCUGCUUUUAUCAUCCCAUUAUAGCAUUACCCCAGUGAAUUAGUCUUCUCCAUUCCCCGAUGUUCUCCCACCCCAUUUUACCAUGCUUCCAGUGUUUCCUGUUAGCACAUGCAUUGCAGACAUUGCUGAGAGCUGUAUUCACUAUUUUACAUAAAGGAAUUAAUUGUCUUCCACUGAGCUACAAUCUCUGAAGCGAUCACUGGCAAAGCGCCUAACAAUUCUGCUCUACAUGUGAAGAUUUUUGUCUUAGUGCAUUUUUGGAUGUUUAAUCAAACUCAGUUUGGCCUAUUUGUGAAACAGGAUUACAAAGUGUGAAGUACUGCCUCAGUCCAAUCUAUUUAAUUCCGUAUACCCAUCUGCAGUAGCGAACUGAUAGAUGUUUAAUAAAAACACAUAAGGGUAGUGUUUUAACAACAGCACACAACUCCAUCUCCUUAGACACUGAAUGACUAGAACCAACUACAGUUAAAACCUCAGGCAGUGAGGAAAAAUAAAUGGCAGUGUGCACAGCACUGGGAGGGAUUUCCCACCCUCUUGAGACUCUGCUCCCCAUUGCAGGGCAGGGAAGAAGUGAGAUGCAGUGAGGACUGCACCCCAAGGCCAGCUGCUGCACACCAACUUGAAACCUGAACCGAUUCAGAUGCAGUUGUUAAACUGAAACAUCAGUAUGAGAUGAUUCAGACUGCUACAGAAGAACAGAUGAGGCAAAGCAAUGGAAAUCAAUAAGCUGUUCUAUUGCAUGACUGAUACUGAAUCGUAGUAUAGACCUUAACAAAUCUGUCACUGGGAGGUAAAGACUUUGUUACUUGAAGGUAUUUUGAAGUGUCUCACUGAAAACGAUUAGAAAACCCAAAUGUGCCAAAGUGCUUACGCAAAAGCUGUUAAGUGAUGUAAUGACCAACAUUUUAAGGAACUGAAAAGAACUGCUGCUCACAGUCACUUACUGUUCUGAAACAAAAGUCUUGUUUCAUUGCUGCUUAACACUGCUAUAAUCCCAAGAAUCUCACUUAGGUCAUAGACAAGAAAACCAACACAGCAAAGACCAUAACAUUUUGGUAUUUCUGUACAUUUCAACAGCUGCAGGUGAGGCCACCGGCCCUGCAAGUGUUCUGUGUAAUGAGAUGAGUGCAAAGGCACAGCCUGCUGGAAGGGCACAGAAAGCUUUGGGAAGGAAUAAAAAUGAUGGUCGUAUGCCAAAGCAGAACACAGAAGUUUUUUGCAUUUGGAAAGAAUAUCAUAAAGACCAUCAGAAACUUCCUUAUCAGCCAUGUGAAUCUGCUUCAAAGCCAUUACGCUUUGCUAAUUCAAGGAAAGGCUGGACACUAAGACUUUGUGAAUGGAAUGAAGCUGACUGAAAGAAGUUAGUGUUAAAGCACUGAAAGGCACGCUUGUUGUCAACCACCUCCAAGAUCUGCAAGAAGGAUUCCUACCAUCCUUAAGAGUCUCUAACAUGAAAACAUCUUAUGAACUGGCCUCAAGUGAGGUCUUUAAAACAAAGUUUUCUAGCCUGUAAUAUACAACAGGACCAACUACAUUUGAAGCCAAAAGGUAUAUACCUUUGUUUUCAUCUUGGUAGUGAAAUUGAGGCAGUGUCACAAGCAAGGCUACCAGCAUUAAUUAAAGAUCAGAUAAAACUUGUCUAAUUGGAUGUGGGACAUAAUUUCUUCUCAAAAAUGUCAACUUCAGCCAUUACCCACUGCAACAUUAUACACAAUAGUCUCUAAUUCUUUGAGGGGAAAAAAAACACAACACCACCACACACUAAAUUACACUGUGGGAUAAUGGUUUGGCUUUGAGAGGAAAGGAGAAAGCAUGAGCAACGUGUACGCGUGUGCACAAAUCUCCAGUUGACACUGUAUGCUCAUGGGUGAAGUUGUUACUGUUUGUUUCCAGUGCUAAGUGAAAGACAGUGUUUCCACUUGUCUGAUUAUUUUUUCACGUUCAGAAAUGUUUACAAAAUUUGUUUUACAAACUGUAUGCUGUAAGAAAAAAAUCCCAUUCAAGUGUCACCCCACUAAAUACUCAUUCAGAAGUCUGCUUUUCCAAUCCAGACUUAGUGAUCAAUGCUAGAAGUCACUAACAAUUGGAUUUUGUCUCAAAAUCAGAUUUAAAGCUUUUUUUUCCUUACGUGAUACAGGAAUGUAUUUUCAAUGUUUAGGCCAAGAAGUGAGAUUGUUUACUACACCAACAGCUACUCAGUUAAUCUCAACAUGCAACAGCAACUUCAUUAAUCUCGAGUGUGAGAUUUAAUGCAGGUGAACAAUUAUCCGAGAUUUGCUGGAGCUCAAUAAGAGGCUGUAAGUUCAUUACCUCCUUUUGCAGAUGGAGUUUGAAGAAACUGUUUGGUUUUGAAGGCCGCGCGAGGCAAAUUUUUCUGCCUUUGCAGAGCUGUUGAAAGACAAGAAGUGUUAUAUUUGUCUACGAUGAUAAGUAAGCUGCAUUUACUGGGAAUUUCAGAAUGGCAUCCGCUUGUGAAGCAUAAGGAAUAGAGUGAGUAAAACACUCUAAAAGCUGUUAUGACUCCGAAAGUGAUGGCUUUUUAAACGGUGCUUGCUCUUAAUGGCCGAGAGUUACAAAGAAGCGUGAAGGAAUCUUGCAGUGCAAAAUGCGCAGGUUCUGUAAGAGUAAAGCUGCUUGCGGGGCAAAACGCCCAGAAAGGCAAAACCAAACAAACAAACAAAUACACCAAAGGGAGAACAAGCCACCUAGCAGCAUGCUACAGCAGUAUGAGUGCAAGAUCAGAUAAUAAUGAUGACCGCUCAGCUGUCCUAUUUGAUCAAGCAAGACUAAACUUCUCAAGUAGUUUUCAAGAAAAAGUUGGAGCAUUAUGCAAAAGCAUCACUUUUGGUAUGAGCGUCAUUGAAAAACGUUAUCGUUUGUAUGCAAACAUAGGCCGUUCUGAGAGAUGUUUGCCUUUUUUGUUCUGAAGUGACACAAGAGAACUCAGAAUGAAGACACAAAACUGAGGAUUAGCAGCUGUCGGCAAGCAAACAGCAUGCUUUUUUAAAAUAUAUAUAUAGCUCCCAUAUCCUGCCUGUUUUCUAGUAAUAUUCAAGGGCUAAUACUGCUUUGACACAUCCUUGCUACCUACCAGGUACCAAGAGAGAAGCCUGUGUCCCAAGAGCAGCAGAAACUUGGCAGAGAGAGUUCUCUAUCGCCAUCAAACCAUGACAAACGCACCGAUUCAAUACGUUUUCCCCACAGCAUAUAUUUGGAGGGAAGAAGGAAAGCAGUCAGUGACAUAAAGCUUUGCCUACACAAAGGCUUCUGAAAAUGAUGAUGGAUGAAAAAAAACAUCUCUGCUCACCUCAGUGUGUGGUUUUAUGCCAGCACAGAACUGCUUACACCUGUAAGGCUUAUUUCCAUAGCGAGAGGGAAGAAAGGUGGGGAAACAGCUGUGCAUGAAGAGCCAAACCCUAAGCAAGGAAGCUCAGUGCUCACAUCACCAAUGGUUGAAUAUCACUGCAGAAAGCAGGAGAAGGAACAAACAGUACUCAUCCUUCUUUACUAAAGGAUUUCUUAUCCUUCAGUCAAUGCAAAAUCUGCAAUAUUUUGUGAGCAAUGAAGAAAUUUCAUCAUGUGUUUUACCUUUAUUCUAAAAAUAUCAGGUGGUGGUCUAUUCAUUUUGACCAUUUUGAUCUUAGUAACUAACUAAAAUCUUUGUUCUCAACAAACAGCAAAAAUGAUUAAACAUGUUUAUAAGCAUUAUAAAAUGUGCCUAAAAGAACAAAAAGUCCUUCCACCAACUAGAAUGUAAUGCAAUAAAAAGCAUGAGGCAAUAGUCAGUUAUUAUUCAACUUCUGACGCAUGCCCUUACUCUAAACUUUAUUCAGUACUUCUAAACAGCCAAUUAAACACAUGAGGAUGUUUAAAAAUGAGUUCAAUUCCCAGCCUUGUUUUCUUAAAGGAAUUUAGUGAAGCCAACCACUGGCCGGAGUGUUUCUGUCCACAAGGAUUCUAUAAUACCACUUUUUGCUGUAUCAGUGUUUUUGUUCUACCACACUAAAUCAAGAACAACCUCUUCUCUCCUUCAUAUUUAUGACCCUGGAUGUUUUUUUUCCUAGAUCAUUCCGCUAUAUUUAAAUUGCCAGCUGUACAUGGCAGUAAGUUGCUUCCCCCAUCAUUAUUACACUAUUUGCAAGUCAGAGAUGUGGGAUGAUGUGGAAAGAAUUAAAAAAAAUAAUUGUAUAUAUCAAAUUCCUUCUUUCCUUCUCAGUGGAGGCUCCAGGAAAAGUUCCCACCAUCUGACAACUAAGCAGUACGUGCACUAUAUCACUGCAAAGAGCUGCAAGCAGAGAACUUGAGCAGUGCUGUGGAAAUGUGAUUUGAGAUGAGCAUGGAGCACAUGCUCAUCCACUGUUUGCUGCUCUCGAAUGGCUCCAUAUUACCUCUCACAAACGGUGCAUGUUGAAUAUAUUAUAUUUAUUUCUAAUUAACUGAAUUGGAAUACUUACUUAGGUUUCCUUAAAGUAUACAGUUUCUUUUGUCCUGAACACACCAAGCAGCCGGAUCUUGGCCAGCAGACUAUGGUCACUAAUAAUUUGAACCAUCUACAGCUUAGCUCUUUGGAAAAGCGUUGUAAUUAACUCUGCUUAAAGGUUUCACAUCGUUGUGUUAUUAAUGCUCCAUACGUUCAAAACCAUCAUGCGUACAUGACCCACAUAGCUCCUAUGUAGAAGCCACCUUGUGCAAAGCUAUACAACUUACAGCCUCCAUAGAGUACAAUCUAAAUGUAGAGACUUCUGCAAUUCGUAACACACUGACGUCUAGAAGAUGUCUGUUCUUUGGAGAAUGCAGGUAUUACUCUAUCUUCCAGUGUUCUACAGUGAAAUACUUAACAGCUUUUACAUUCCCAAAUCCUUACUGCAUGACAGCGCAGUGAACCACGUGUAAACGAAGAUUCCAGUAGUUACACUUAAUAAGUAGUUUACUCAUUUGAUCCCUUUUCAAAGAGAAUUUGGAUUUUUCACCAAAUUACGACUGAAGCUUAUAAAAUGCCUUCAUCUUUUGCAAUUGUACUUAUUGUAAUUAUCUUCCAUCCACUCCUUAAUCAAGCAUGUAUUAAUUUGCCUACGUAACCAUAUGAGGAAUUGUCUGUACAGAAACUUACUGGAUUCCUAACUCAUUUUUGAAUGCCAGCAACCAUAGCAAGUUCAGUAUUGCAGCCACAGCAAAUGUGCAAGUAAAUUAUGAACAGCAGAUCGUUGACAAAAAGAAAAGUAGUGAUCCCAGGUGGCAAGCCAGCAUCCUUGCAAAGGUAAGCUCAUGCAAAACUAGCAGGUAUGAGGAAGCUUUGAAUCCUUAGACCCAGAAGUCGAUGCCAAGGAAAAACAAAGCUUUGCUGCAAUUUAACAGUGCUUUGUGCAAGGUGACAAAAUAUAAAACCAAUAAAACAAAAAGUGUACAAUUAAAAAAAACACAAUUCUGGAAAUUUUUUAUACAAUGUACAAUUUUGAGAAAUUUUUUGAAAUCCAGACUAGGCAAAGAUACUUACUCAUUGACUUCACACACAAACCGUUUUACGAUUGUCAAUAGCAAGACUCUGACAAACAUCUGUAAGAGCAGGGAAACUGUAAAAGCUAGAAAUCUGGGCUUUGUUAAUGAUACUUAACUUACAUUUAGAUGUAAGUUGGUCUAGAGUAGUUCACGUUUGGGGAAAGAUUCCCAUAAAAAGCAAACAGAUCUACCUAAUGCUUCCUAUGAUUCUCAGUCCAUCCAGUAGUUGAAAACAAUCACUUAUGUAUAAACAUCUCAUUCCUGCAAUGAAGUAACUCAGAUGUUGAAAACAGAGACUUCUGCUAUCUGAUCUUUCUACAAAGUUUCACUGUGAAUAUUAGAAAUUAGAAAGUAGCUUUCUGACUAGCUAAACUGCCCUUUGUACUCUCCCCUUUCAAGUUCACUCUAUUUUAAAACAUCAAAUACAAUCUGUAUAGCUUUGGCUAUAGUAUGACACAGUUGGACUAAUUGUCCACAGAACCCUUACAUCCAGAGUCACUACAAAGACAGAAAUCUCCUUGUCUUUGCCAGGUCCGUAUUGUUCUGUGUUUAAUGUAUUUGUAUUAGCAAACUGUUUCGGAAGGCCUAUAGUUAAAAAGGCCAAUCAGGUAUGCCUUCAUGCCUUUACUCUUCAACAGGUAAAAAUGAAAUUUGUUUCAUUCACAAAUACUAUCUUACGUUACUUGUCAAACACUUAGAUUACUGAUGAACUUUUAUGGAUCAAAGCUCUACAAAUAGUAAUAUUCAUAAUGUGUUCUUCCUUUGAAAAUGUCACACAGGAUAAUUCAUUUUCUAAUGUGUUUUAAAACAAAAAUGGUCAGGAAACAUUUAAGCAAAAGGAACUGUCAAUAUUGACAUAGAAGGAAGCACUGAAUAUUUGCGUUUCGUUUGCUUUGGCUUUAAGGUCACCAUUUUUAAGAGACUCGUGAGGUCAGCAGCGUUCUCCUAUCAGUGGUUCACUUCCAACCAAACCAGCAGGCACUGACCCAGCACUGCGCUUUUUGUUUCACGGGACUCGGGUUCACCUGAACCUUUGCUGAGAAACACUGAUGUUUGAAAACACAAAAUCUGCAACUGAAUGCAUGAUUUUCAGGUGACAAAGCAGAAGAAAAUUAACUGCAAAUGAGUUAAAAUUGCGUGAAUGAUUUCGUAUUAGGCUUCAAUAGUUAAAAAUAGCAAAACCAUCAUCAAGAUAAGCAUUCUGGUAGCGUGAUGCGUUUUUCUAGUCUGAAAUAAAAUUCAACAGUAUGAAGCAUUA